rnacentral:rRNA from 1 species
AGAGUUUGAUCAUGGCUCAGAAUCAACGCUGGCGGCGCGCUUAACACAUGCAAGUCGAACGAGAAAGGGGAGCAAUCCCUGAGUACAGUGGCGUACGGGUGAGUAACACGUGGAUGAUCUACCUUCUGGUGUGGAAUAACCCUGGGAAACCGGGGCUAAUACCGCAUAAGCUCGAGAGAGGAAAGCAGCAAUGCGCCGGAAGAGGAGUCCGCGGCCGAUUAGCUAGUUGGCAGGGUAAAAGCCUACCAAGGCGAAGAUCGGUAGCCGGCCUGAGAGGGCACACGGCCACACUGGCACUGAAACACGGGCCAGACUCCUACGGGAGGCAGCAGUGGGGAAUCUUGCACAAUGGGGGCAACCCUGAUGCAGCGACGCCGCGUGAGCGAUGAAGCCCUUCGGGGUGUAAAGCUCUUUCGGCAGGGAAGAUGAUGACGGUACCUGCAGAAGCAGCUGCGGCUAACUACGUGCCAGCAGCCGCGGUAAUACGUAGGCAGCGAGCGUUGUUCGGAGUUACUGGGCGUAAAGGGUGUGUAGGCGGUUGUUUAAGUUUGGUGUGAAAUCUCCCGGCUCAACUGGGAGGGUGCGCCGAAUACUGAAUGACUAGAGUGCGGGAGAGGAGAGUGGAAUUCCUGGUGUAGCGGUGAAAUGCGCAGAUAUCAGGAGGAACACCNUGGCGAAGGCAGCUCGCUGGGACGGUACUGACGCUGAGACGCGAAAGCGUGGGGAGCAAACAGGAUUAGAUACCCUAGUAGUCC